rnacentral:rRNA from 1 species
AUUGAACGCUGGCGGCAUGAUUUACACAUGCAAGUCGAACGGUAACAGGCCGCAAGGUGCUGACGAGUGGCGAACGGGUGAGUAAUGCAUCGGAACGUGCCCAGUCGUGGGGGAUAACUACUCGAAAGAGUAGCUAGUACCGCAUACGAUCUAUGGAUGGAAGCGGGGGACCGUAAGGCCUCGCGCGAUUGGAGCGGCCGAUGUCAGAUUAGGUAGUUGGUGGGGUAAAGGCUCACCAAGCCAACGAUCUGUAGCUGGUCUGAGAGGACGACCAGCCACACUGGGACUGAGACACGGCCCAGACUCCUACGGGAGGCAGCAGUGGGGAAUUUUGGACAAUGGGCGCAAGCCUGAUCCAGCAAUGCCGCGUGCAGGAAGAAGGCCUUCGGGUUGUAAACUGCUUUUGUACGGAACGAAACGGCUGCGGUUAAUACCCGGGGCUAAUGACGGUACCGUAAGAAUAAGCACCGGCUAACUACGUG